AACGCACCUUGCACCCUCUAGCAUUCUGGAGGGUAUGCCUGUUUGAGUGUCAUUAAUCUCUCAACACAAGAAACUUUGUCUUGUGCUUGGAUAUUGAAGGUUUUGCUGGCGCAAACAACUGUCAGCUCCUUUUAAAUGUAUUAGCAGAGCAGUAUUGGACUGGCCUCGGUUUGAUAAGAAAGUUUAUCUAUGCUGUCGCUGGGUUCUCUCUGUGCUCAGCUUCAAAUUGUCUUCGGACUGUCUCUUGAGGCAAACAAAUCUCUAUUGAUCGACCUCAAAUCAGGUAGGACUACCCGCUGAACUUAA
rnacentral:misc_RNA from 1 species